rnacentral:rRNA from 1 species
CACUCCUACGGGAGGCAGCAGUGGGGAAUAUUGGACAAUGGGCGCAAGCCUGAUCCAGCCAUGCCGCGUGAGUGAUGAAGGCCCUAGGGUUGUAAAGCUCUUUCACCGGUGAAGAUAAUGACGGUAACCGGAGAAGAAGCCCCGGCUAACUUCGUGCCAGCAGCCGCGGUAAUACGAAGGGGGCUAGCGUUGUUCGGAUUUACUGGGCGUAAAGCGCACGUAGGCGGACUAUUAAGUCAGGGGUGAAAUCCCGGGGCUCAACCCCGGAACUGCCUUUGAUACUGGUAGUCUUGAGUUCGAGAGAGGUGAGUGGAAUUCCGAGUGUAGAGGUGAAAUUCGUAGAUAUUCGGAGGUACACCAGUGGCGAAGGCGGCUCACUGGCUCGAUACUGACGCUGAGGUGCGAAAGCGUGGGGAGCAAACAGGAUUAGAAACCCUAGUAGUCCC